rnacentral:rRNA from 1 species
GAUGAACGCUGGCGGCGUGCUUAACACAUGCAAGUCGAACGGUGAAGCAGGAUCUUGCUCCUGUGGAUCAGUGGCGUACGGGUGAGUAACACGUGAGCAAUCUGCCCUGGACUCUGGGAUAAGCGUUGGAAACGACGUCUAGUACCGGAUACGAGGCGUGGGGGCAUCCCCAACGCCUGGAAAGAACUUCGGUCCAGGAUGAGCUCGCGGCCUAUCAGGUAGUUGGUGAGGUAACGGCUCACCAAGCCUACGACGGGUAGCCGGCCUGAGAGGGUGACCGGCCACACUGGGACUGAGACACGGCCCAGACUCCUACGGGAGGCAGCAGUGGGAGAUAGUGCACAAUGGGCGCAAGCCUGAUGCAGCAACGCCGCGUGAGGGACGACGGCCUUCGGGUUGUAAACCUCUUUUAGCAGGGAAGAAGCGAAAGUGACGGUACCUGCAGAAGAAGGACCGGCCAACUACGUGCCAGCCGCCGCCGUAACAC